GGCUGGUCCGAUGGCAAUGGGUUAUCAGAACUUAUUAACAUUAGUGUCACUAAAGUUGGUAUACCACCCCCCCCACUGCUAAAUUUGACUGGCUUUAA
ensembl:misc_RNA Y_RNA Y RNA